GUUGAAAAAUUAGCGGAUGACUUGUGGCUGGGGGUGAAAGGCCAAUCAAACCGGGAGAUAGCUGGUUCUCCCCGAAAGCUAUUUAGGUAGCGCCUCGUGAAUUCAUCUCCGGGGGUAGAGCACUGUUUCGGCAAGGGGGUCAUCCCGACUUACCAACCCGAUGCAAACUGCGAAUACCGGAGAAUGUUAUCACGGGAGACACACGGCGGGUGCUAACGUCCGUCGUGAAGAGGGAAACAACCCAGACCGCCAGCUAAGGUCCCAAAGUCAUGGUUAAGUGGGAAACGAUGUGGGAAGGCCCAGACAGCCAGGAUGUUGGCUUAGAAGCAGCCAUCAUUUAAAGAAAGCGUAAUAGCUCACUGGUCGAGUCGGCCUGCGCGGAAGAUGUAACGGGGCUAAACCAUGCACCGAAGCUGCGGCAGCGACGCUUAUGCGUUGUUGGGUAGGGGAGCGUUCUGUAAGCCUGCGAAGGUGUGCUGUGAGGCAUGCUGGAGGUAUCAGAAGUGCGAAUGCUGACAUAAGUAACGAUAAAGCGGGUGAAAAGCCCGCUCGCCGGAAGACCAAGGGUUCCUGUCCAACGUUAAUCGGGGCAGGGUGAGUCGACCCCUAAGGCGAGGCCGAAAGGCGUAGUCGAUGGGAAACAGGUUAAUAUUCCUGUACUUGGUGUUACUGCGAAGGGGGGACGGAGAAGGCUAUGUUGGCCGGGCGACGGUUGUCCCGGUUUAAGCGUGUAGGCUGGUUUUCCAGGCAAAUCCGGAAAAUCAAGGCUGAGGCGUGAUGACGAGGCACUACGGUGCUGAAGCAACAAAUGCCCUGCUUCCAGGAAAAGCCUCUAAGCAUCAGGUAACAUCAAAUCGUACCCCAAACCGACACAGGUGGUCAGGUAGAGAAUACCAAGGCGCUUGAGAGAACUCGGGUGAAGGAACUAGGCAAAAUGGUGCCGUAACUUCGGGAGAAGGCACGCUGAUAUGUAGGUGAAGUCCCUCGCGGAUGGAGCUGAAAUCAGUCGAAGAUACCAGCUGGCUGCAACUGUUUAUUAAAAACACAGCACUGUGCAAACACGAAAGUGGACGUAUACGGUGUGACGCCUGCCCGGUGCCGGAAGGUUAAUUGAUGGGGUUAGCGCAAGCGAAGCUCUUGAUCGAAGCCCCGGUAAACGGCGGCCGUAACUAUAACGGUCCUAAGGUAGCGAAAUUCCUUGUCGGGUAAGUUCCGACCUGCACGAAUGGCGUAAUGAUGGCCAGGCUGUCUCCACCCGAGACUCAGUGAAAUUGAACUCGCUGUGAAGAUGCAGUGUACCCGCGGCAAGACGGAAAGACCCCGUGAACCUUUACUAUAGCUUGACACUGAACAUUGAGCCUUGAUGUGUAGGAUAGGUGGGAGGCUUUGAAGUGUGGACGCCAGUCUGCAUGGAGCCGACCUUGAAAUACCACCCUUUAAUGUUUGAUGUUCUAACGUUGACCCGUAAUCCGGGUUGCGGACAGUGUCUGGUGGGUAGUUUGACUGGGGCGGUCUCCUCCUAAAGAGUAACGGAGGAGCACGAAGGUUGGCUAAUCCUGGUCGGACAUCAGGAGGUUAGUGCAAUGGCAUAAGCCAGCUUGACUGCGAGCGUGACGGCGCGAGCAGGUGCGAAAGCAGGUCAUAGUGAUCCGGUGGUUCUGAAUGGAAGGGCCAUCGCUCAACGGAUAAAAGGUACUCCGGGGAUAACAGGCUGAUACCGCCCAAGAGUUCAUAUCGACGGCGGUGUUUGGCACCUCGAUGUCGGCUCAUCACAUCCUGGGGCUGAAGUAGGUCCCAAGGGUAUGGCUGUUCGCCAUUUAAAGUGGUACGCGAGCUGGGUUUAGAACGUCGUGAGACAGUUCGGUCCCUAUCUGCCGUGGGCGCUGGAGAACUGAGGGGGGCUGCUCCUAGUACGAGAGGACCGGAGUGGACGCAUCACUGGUGUUCGGGUUGUCAUGCCAAUGGCACUGCCCGGUAGCUAAAUGCGGAAGAGAUAAGUGCUGAAAGCAUCUAAGCACGAAACUUGCCCCGAGAUGAGUUCUCCCUGACUCCUUGAGAGUCCUGAAGGAACGUUGAAGACGACGACGUUGAUAGGCCGGGUGUGUAAGCGCAGCGAUGCGUUGAGCUAACCGGUACUAAUGAACCGUGAGGCUUAACCUU
rnacentral:rRNA from 1 species